rnacentral:rRNA from 1 species
CUCCCAUUGCGCAAGCAAGUAAGACCCCUCGAAGACGACGAGGUUGAUAGACCGGGAGUGCAAGCAUGGCGACAUGUUCAGCGGACCGGCACUAAUAGGUCGAGGACUUGACCGA